rnacentral:snRNA from 1 species
CAGCCGCGAGGUGCGCACAGAGCGAACCAUUCUUUCGCCUUUUGUUAAAGAAUACCGUGUGCGCGUCGCAGACAGGCAUAUGCCUAUUUUUGGAGGGCUCUUCUUGACCAGAUGAGCU